GACGAACGCUGGCGGCGUGCUUAACACAUGCAAGUCGAACGGAAAGGCCCUGCUUUUGUGGGGUGCUCGAGUGGCGAACGGGUGAGUAACACGUGAGUAACCUGCCCUUGACUUUGGGAUAACUUCAGGAAACUGGGGCUAAUACCGGAUAGGAGCUCCUGCUGCAUGGUGGGGGUUGGAAAGUUUCGGCGGUUGGGGAUGGACUCGCGGCUUAUCAGCUUGUUGGUGGGGUAGUGGCUUACCAAGGCUUUGACGGGUAGCCGGCCUGAGAGGGUGACCGGCCACAUUGGGACUGAGAUACGGCCCAGACUCCUACGGGAGGCAGCAGUGGGGAAUAUUGCACAAUGGGCGGAAGCCUGAUGCAGCAACGCCGCGUGCGGGAUGACGGCCUUCGGGUUGUAAACCGCUUUCGCCUGUGACGAAGCGUGAGUGACGGUAAUGGGUAAAGAAGCACCGGCUAACUACGUGCCAGCAGCCGCGGUGAUACGUAGGGUGCGAGCGUUGUCCGGAUUUAUUGGGCGUAAAGGGCUCGUAGGUGGUUGAUCACGUCGGAAGUGUAAUCUUGGGGCUUAACCCUGAGCGUGCUUUCGAUACGGGUUGACUUGAGGAAGGUAGGGGAGAGUGGAAUUCCUGGUGGAGCGGUGGAAUGCGCAGAUAUCAGGAGGAACACCAGUGGCGAAGGCGGUUCUCUGGGCCUUUCCUGACGCUGAGGAGCGAAAGCGUGGGGAGCGAACAGGCUUAGAUACCCUGGUAGUCCACGCUGUAAACGGUGGGUACUAGGUGUGGGGUCCAUUCCACGGGUUCCGUGCCGUAGCUAACGCUUUAAGUACCCCGCCUGGGGAGUACGGCCGCAAGGCUAAAACUCAAAGGAAUUGACGGGGCCCCGCACAAGCGGCGGAGCAUGCGGAUUAAUUCGAUGCAACGCGUAGAACCUUACCUGGGUUUGACAUGGAUCGGGAGUGCUCAGAGAUGGGUGUGCCUCUUUUGGGGUCGGUUCACAGGUGGUGCAUGGCUGUCGUCAGCUCGUGUCGUGAGAUGUUGGGUUAAGUCCCGCAACGAGCGCAACCCUUGUUCACUGUUGCCAGCACGUUAUGGUGGGGACUCAGUGGAGACCGCCGGGGUCAACUCGGAGGAAGGUGGGGAUGACGUCAAGUCAUCAUGCCCCUUAUGUCCAGGGCUUCACGCAUGCUACAAUGGCUGGUACAGAGAGUGGCGAGCCUGUGAGGGUGAGCGAAUCUCGGAAAGCCGGUCUCAGUUCGGAUUGGGGUCUGCAACUCGACCUCAUGAAGUCGGAGUCGCUAGUAAUCGCAGAUCAGCAACGCUGCGGUGAAUACGUUCCCGGG
rnacentral:rRNA from 1 species